UGCAACCCGACUCCGUGAAGCUGGAUUCGCUAGUAAUCGCGCAUCAGCCAUGGCGCGGUGAAUACGUUCCCGGGCCUUAUACACACCGCCCGUCAAGCCAUGGAAGCCGGGGGUGCCUGAAGUGUGCAGCCGCAAGGAGCGCCCUAAGGUAAAACCGGUGACUGGGGCUAAGUCGUAACAAGGUAAC
rnacentral:rRNA from 1 species